ensembl:lncRNA
AGAGUAGAGGAUGGUAGAGUAGAGGAGAAGAUGGUAGAGUAGAGGAGAGGAUGGUAGAGUAGAGGAUGGUAGAGUAGAGGAGAGGAUGGUAGAGUAGAGGAUGGUAGAGGAGAGUAGAGGAUGGUAGAGUAGAGUAGAGGAUGGUAGAGUAGAGGAGAAGAUGGUAGAGUAGAGGAGAGGAUGGUAGAGUAGAGUAGAGAAGGGCAGUAUCCUAAAGAACUCAAGAGAAGAGGACAGAGCUGUGCUUUUUAAAGUGAAGUAUUGAAAUAGAAAACUAUAUAAUCAUAUUGUUAUGAAAAUGCAUUAUGUGAAAUUAAUCAAACACUCUGCAUACGGUGGAAUAUCCUGUUGCUUUUUAAGCUACUAGAUGUGUAACAUCAUAAUAGGUCAUCUUUCCUCAGGAGAAACCAAAACGUUCCUGAAAGUAAUGAGAGGUAGAUUUGAGAUGACUACAGGUAAAAGAAACCAAAACGUUCCUGAAAGUAAUGAGAGGUAGAUUUGAGAUGACUACAGGUAAAAGAAACCAAAACGUUCCUGAAAGUAAUGAGAGG